GGCCCUGUGGGGUAGUUUGGUCAAUCCUAUGGCGUUCGGGACGCUGUGACUCCGAUUCAAAUUCGGGCAGGGCCA
rnacentral:tRNA from 2 species